GACGAACGCUGGCGGCGUGCUUAACACAUGCAAGUCGAACGGUAAGGCCCUUCGGGGUACACGAGUGGCGAACGGGUGAGUAACACGUGGGUGAUCUGCCCUGCACUUCGGGAUAAGCCUGGGAAACUGGGUCUAAUACCGGAUAGGACCACUGCCUGCAUGGGUGGUGGUGGAAAGCUUUUGCGGUGUGGGAUGGGCCCGCGGCCUAUCAGCUUGUUGGUGGGGUGAUGGCCUACCAAGGCGACGACGGGUAGCCGGCCUGAGAGGGUGACCGGCCACACUGGGACUGCGAUACGGGCCAGAGUCCUACGGGGGGCAGCAGUGGGGAAUAUUGCACAAUGGGCGCAAGCCUGAUGCAGCGACGCCGCGUGAGGGAUGACGGCCUUCGGGUUGUAAACCUCUUUCAGCACCGACGAAGCGCAAGUGACGGUAGGUGCAGAAGAAGGACCGGCCAACUACGUGCCAGCAGCCGCCGUAACAC
rnacentral:rRNA from 1 species